UUCAGAUUUUACUUUUGUAAACGGAAGAUUUUAUCUUUUCUGUUUAUAUCAUUUAAAACUAUUUUUAAUUCGUUCUGUUUAGCUAAAACAAGUGAGACAUAAUGACAAUGAUUUCGGAAGUAAUGGCUUACAAGGAAAGAAUUCAAUUAAUAAUGUUUAUUUUACUACAAACGCAACCAGAAAAUUUGAUUCCGAUGGCUUAGUAUUACCGAGGAAACUUUCAUUUCCUUGUGAAUCACAAUUUAAAGAAAUCCAUGGAGAGUUAUUGUCGAAAAAGCCGAAGCUAUUUUGUGAUAAAAAUAUGUACCCUGCUAUCAAUAAGCCACACAAAAAAUCAGGAAUCGAAAGACCUUAUACGACUCGUAAUAUAGCUACACAAUUGGAAGAACAUAUUGGAAAACUUCGGAAAACUACUAACUAUACAAGGUAUGGACAAGAAAAAAUAAACGGCGAUACUAAAUCUGAACUAGCAUUGGUGUACGAGAGAAUUUGUAUGAAAGAUCGACGUUUAUAAUUUUUUUAUUUGCUUAAUUUUAUUUUAAAUUAACUUAGAAUAAAAUAUAAUGUACAUUUUUGAUAUUGUUGUUUUAUGGAGUUUCAUAAUAAU